rnacentral:rRNA from 1 species
CCUACGGGGGGCAGCAGUGAGGAAUAUUGGUCAAUGGACGGAAGUCUGAACCAGCCAUGCCGCGUGCAGGAAGACGGCUCUAUGAGUUGUAAACUGCUUUUGUACAAGGGUAAACCUGAAUACGUGUAUUCAGGUGAAAGUACUGUACGAAUAAGGAUCGGCUAACUCCGUGCCAGCAGCCGCGGUAAUACGGAGGAUCCAAGCGUUAUCCGGAUUUAUUGGGGUUAAAGGGUGCGUAAGCGGAUUGAUAAGUUAGAGGUGAAAUGUCCGGGCUUAACCCGGGAACUGCCUCUAAUACUGUUGAGCUAGAGAGUAGAUGCGGUAGGCGGAAUGUAUGGUGUAGCGGUGAAAUGCUUAGAGAUCAUACAGAACACCGAUUGCGAAGGCAGCUUACCAAUCUAUAUCUGACGUUGAGGCACGAAAGCGUGGGGAGCAAACAGGAUUAGAUACCCCUGUAGUC